ensembl:lncRNA novel transcript
AGGACUGAGAUCCCAGAACAUGCCACACCAAGAAGACAUGUCCCAAGGGGCAGUGGAGCCACAGCCACCAGAAGGGACCUGGCCCUGUCGGACCUGCUGAAGCUAGCCGUGGAGUGCAGGGGCUUUGUUGGUCUGGCUGCUAACCAAAGGGUGGCUAAUGGGACCCUUUCCAGGGGCCUCUAGGGGAUUUCAGUGGGGGCUUGCUUCGAGGCUCUAUUACCACUGGACUGUUUACCAAGAGCCUCAGCCUGACAGAGAUGGGAAGAGACGAGUGAGCAUUUCUGACCCAACACCCCCACUGCAGAGUUGGGGAAACAUUUACCCAAGAUAGGAGGAAUAAAAAGGAAAAAAAUUGAAUUUAUUUCCAAAAAACAUACCAAGGUGGACAAGAUAGGAAACAAUACAAUUUAUAUUACAGUUUUA